rnacentral:rRNA from 1 species
AGUUUAUCCUGGCUCAGAAUCAACGCUGCCGGCGUCCUCAGACAUGCAAGUCGAACGCGAAAGUCCCUUUCGGGGACAAGUAGAGUGGCGCACGGGUAGUAACACGUAGGUAUCUACCUUUGGGUGGGGAAUAACAGCCGGAAACGGGCUGCUAAUACCGCAUAAUGCAGCGGGCUCGACAUCGAGACAGUUGUUAAAGCGGGGGAUCGUAAGACCUCGCGCCUAAAGAGGAGCCUGCGGCAGAUUAGCUUGUUGGUAAGGUAACGGCUUACCAAGGCGACGAUCUGUAGCCGGCCUGAGAGGGCGGUCGGCCACACUGACACUGACAUACGGGUCAGACUCCUACGGGAGGCAGCAGUCGGGAAUUUUGGGCAAUGGGCGAAAGCCUGACCCAGCAACGCCGCGUGAAGGAUGAAAUCCCUCGGGAUGUAAACUUCGCAAGAAUGGGAAGAAUAAGUAGAAGCAUAAUACCUUCUA